rnacentral:rRNA from 1 species
UUGAGUUUGAUUCCCGCUCAGGAUGAACGCUAGCGGCAGGCUUAACACAUGCAAGUCGAGGGGUAACAGGUAGCUUGCUAUGCUGACGACCGGCGCACGGGUGAGUAACGCGUAUACAAUCUGCCUUGUACUGAGGGAUAGCCCAGAGAAAUUUGGAUUAAUACCUCAUAGUAUAUAGACUCCACCUGGAGAUUAUAUUAAAGGUUACGGUACAAGAUGAGUAUGCGUUCUAUUAGCUAGAUGGUAAGGUAACGGCUUACCAUGGCAACGAUAGAUAGGGGCCCUGAGAGGGGGAUCCCCCACACUGGUACUGAGACACGGACCAGACUCCUACGGGAGGCAGCAGUGAGGAAUAUUGGACAAUGGGCGAGAGCCUGAUCCAGCCAUGCCGCGUGCAGGAUGACUGCCCUAUGGGUUGUAAACUGCUUUUAUACAGGAAGAAACACCUCUACGUGUAGAGGCUUGACGGUACUGUAAGAAUAAGGAUCGGC